AGCGAACGCUGGCGGCAGGCUUAAUACAUGCAAGUCGAGCGCCCGUAGCAAUACGGGAGCGGCAGACGGGUGAGUAACACGUGGGAACAUGCCCUUCGGUUCGGAAUAACUCAGGGAAACUUGAGCUAAUACCGAAUACGCCUACGGGAAGAUUAUCGCCGAAGGAUGGCCCGCGUCCGAUUAGCUAGUUGGUGAGGUAAUGGCUCACCAAGGCGACGAUCGGUAGCUGGCUGAGAGGAUGAUCAGCCACACUGGGACUGAGAUACGGCCCAGACUCCUACGGGA
rnacentral:rRNA from 1 species